rnacentral:rRNA from 1 species
CAAGGAAUUUUCGGCAAUGGGCGCAAGCCUGACCGAGCAACGCCGCGUGGAGGAUGACGGCUUUCGGGUUGUAAACUCCUUUUACGUGGGACGAUAAUGACGGUACCACGUGAAUCAGGCCCGGCUAACUACGUGCCAGCAGCCGCGGUAAUACGUAGGGGUCGAGCGUUGUCCGGACUUACUGGGCGUAAAGCGUGGGUAGGUGGUCUGGGAUGUGCCGUGUGAAAGCCCCGCGUUCAUCGGGGGGAGGUCGCGGUAGACACUCGGACUUGAGGCAUACAGAGGGCCGUGGAAUUCCCGGUGUAGUGGUGAAAUGCGUAGAUAUCGGGAGGAACACCAGUGGCGCAAGCGGCGGCCUGGGUAUGACCUGACACUGAGCCACGACGGCGUGGGGAGCAAACGG